UAAACAACUUCGGAACGAGGUCAACAAAUGGCGUCUAUGUUGAGCAAGUUUCACUUAUGGGUAGCCAAGACUAGAAAAUUGGAAGCAAAUGGUAUUCCCUUCGAGCAAGUCCGACCUAUGAUGGACUAAAUUCAGAAAAUCGUCCGUGGGAUUGGCAGAGAGUAAGCGUGGCUUAACGACAGAUCCGAUCUGCAGGAGUGGAACAAUCGGUUCUC